rnacentral:misc_RNA from 1 species
ACAACGUUGGUUGAGUGGGGAAGGGAGCGAGGGUUGUACAAUUUAGGGCAGAGCUAUGCUCUUUAUAUUACCAAUGAAAAAUAGCUCUUGGCAGAGUCUUGCGUGUUCCUAUUGANNNNNNNNNNNCCUACAGGUCAGAAUCUACCAUUUACCAAGCACAUGGUUUGACAGGUGCUCAUCAGAAGACCAGCUCAGAAGGGAAAUCAAGUAACUGGGGGAGAAAACAGAAAAGUGUGUACUUUUUUUUUAUCUUUAGAUUUUCCUUCUUUAAUUCAAAAUGAAGUUUUCAGCUCUUAAGAUGAGCACCUGUCAAACCAUGUGCUUGG